rnacentral:rRNA from 1 species
CCCUCAAAGAUGAUGAGGUAAAUAGGUUCGAGGUGGAAGCGUAGCGAUACGUGGAGCUGACGAAUACUAAUCGAUCGAAGACUUAAUCAAU